rnacentral:rRNA from 1 species
CAGCCCCUCGAGUGGUGGGGACGAUUAUUGGGCCUAAAGCGUCCGUAGCCGGCCCGGUAAGUCCCUCGUUAAAUCCAGCGUCCCAAGCGCUGGGCUGCGGGGGAUACUGUCGGGCUAGGGGGCGGGAGAGGCCGGCGGUAUUCCCGGGGUAGGGGCGAAAUCCUUUGAUCCCGGGAGGACCACCAGUGGCGAAGGCGGCCGGCCAGAACGCGCUCGACGGUCAGGGACGAAAGCUGGGGGAGCGAACCGGAUUAGAUACCCGGGUAGUCCCAGCCGUAAACGAUGCGGGCUAGGUGUUGGGGCGGCCAUGGGCCGCCUCAGUGCCGCAGGGAAGCCGUUAAGCCCGCCGCCUGGGGAGUACGGCCGCAAGGCUGAAACUUAAAGGAAUUGGCGGGGGAGCACCACAAGGCGUGAAGCCUGCGGUUUAAUUGGAGUCAACGCCGGGAACCUUACCGGGGGCGACAGCAGGAUGAAGGCCAGGUUAAAGACCUUGCUAGACGAGCUGAGAGGAGGUGCAUGGCCGUCGCCAGUUCGUGCCGUGAGGUGUCCUCUUAAGUGAGGCAACGAACGAGACCCGCGCCCCAAGUUGCUCCCGAACCCUAAAGGGGUUCGGGCACUCUUGGGGGACCGCUGCCGAUGAGGCAGAGGAAGGGGCGGGCGACGGCAGGUCAGUAUGCCCCGAAUCCCCCGGGCCACACGCGGGCUGCAAUGGUAGGGACAGAGGGUUGCGACCCCGAGAGGGGGAGCCAAUCCCUAAACCCUACCUCAGUUGGGAUCGAGGGCUGCAACCCGCCCUCGUGAACGUGGAAUGCCUAGUAACCGCGCGUCACCAUCGCGCGGUGAAUACGUCCCUGCUCCUU